rnacentral:rRNA from 1 species
GUCCAUGCCGUAAACGUUGGGCACUAGGUGUGGGGGACAUUCCACGUUUUCCGCGCCGUAGCUAACGCAUUAAGUGCCCCGCCUGGGGAGUACGGCCGCAAGGCUAAAACUCAAAGGAAUUGACGGGGGCCCGCACAAGCGGCGGAGCAUGCGGAUUAAUUCGAUGCAACGCGAAGAACCUUACCAAGGCUUGACAUGGGCCGGACCGGGCUGGAAACAGUCCUUCCCCUUUGGGGCCGGUUCACAGGUGGUGCAUGGUUGUCGU